rnacentral:tRNA from 1 species
UCCCAGGUGGCUUAGUGGUGGUAAAGAACCUGCCUGCCUGUGCAUGAGACCCAGGUUUGAUCCCUGGGUUGGGAA